rnacentral:tRNA from 1 species
GCCGGGGUGGGGUAACGGCUAUCCUUUGGGACUGUGGAUCCCAUGACCCGGGUUCGACUCCCGGUCCCGGCC